rnacentral:misc_RNA from 1 species
AAGUCGUAACAAGGUUUCCGUAGGUGAACCUGCGGAAGGAUCAUUGCCAAGUUUGCAAAAAACAACAAUAUUUUGACGACUCUGAACCUGAAGACCGGGAUAGUUUUUAACUGUCCCGGGCUGUUUACUAUUCUAUAUUAUAAACUUUAAAACAAAACAAAAUCAUACAACUCGUUGCCAUGGAUCUCUAGGCUUAUGG